GACGAACGCUGGCGGCGUGCUUAACACAUGCAAGUCGAACGGAAAGGCCCUGCUUUUGUGUGGUGCUCGAGUGGCGAACGGGUGAGUAACACGUGAGUAACCUGCCCUGGACUUUGGGAUAACUUCAGGAAACUGGGGCUAAUACCGGAUAGGAGCUCCUGCUGCAUGGUGGGGGUUGGAAAGUUUCGGCGGUUGGGGAUGGACUCGCGGCUUAUCAGCUUGUUGGUGGGGUAGUGGCUUACCAAGGCUUUGACGGGUGGCCGGCCUGGGAGGGUGACCAGCCACAUUGGGACUGAGAUACGGCCCAGACUCCUACGGGAGGCAGCAGUGGGGAAUAUUGCACAAUGGGCGGAAGCCUGAUGCAGCAACGCCGCGUGCGGGAUGACGGCCUUCGGGUUGUAAACCGCUUUCGCCUGUGACGAAGCGUGAGUGACGGUAAUGGGUAAAGAAGCACCGGCUAACUACGUG
rnacentral:rRNA from 1 species